CACGUAGGGCGCAAGCGUUGUCCGGAAUUAUUGGGCGUAAAGCGCACGUAGGCGGCAUUGCAAGUCGGAUGUGAAAUCCCUCGGCUUAACCAAGGAAGUGCAUCCGAAACUGCAGUGCUUGAGUACUUAAGAGGAUCGCGGAAUUCCCGGUGUAGAGGUGAAAUUCGUAGAUAUCGGGAGGAACACCAGUGGCGAAGGCGGCGAUCUGGGAAGAUACUGACGCUGAGGUGCGAAAGCGUGGGGAGCAAACAGG
rnacentral:rRNA from 1 species